UACGGGGGGGGCAAGCGUUGUUCGGAAUUACUGGGCGUAAAGGGCGCGUAGGCGGUUUGCUAAGUUGAAUGUGAAAACUCUGGGCUUAACCCAGAGCCUGCAUUCAAUACUGGCAGGCUAGAGUUCUGGAGGGGAUAGCGGAAUUCCUGGUGUAGCGGUGAAAUGCGUAGAUAUCAGGAGGAACACCGGUGGCGAAGGCGGCGUUCUGGACUGCAACUGACACUGAGGAACGAAAGCCAGGGGAGCAAACGGG
rnacentral:rRNA from 1 species